rnacentral:rRNA from 1 species
GAUGAACGCUGGCGGCGUGCCUAAUACAUGCAAGUCGAGCGAACAGACGAGGAGCUUGCUCCUCUGACGUUAGCGGCGGACGGGUGAGUAACACGUGGAUAACCUACCUAUAAGACUGGGAUAACUUCGGGAAACCGGAGCUAAUACCGGAUAAUAUAUUGAACCGCAUGGUUCAAUAGUGAAAGACGGUUUUGCUGUCACUUAUAGAUGGAUCCGCGCCGCAUUAGCUAGUUGGUAAGGUAACGGCUUACCAAGGCAACGAUGCGUAGCCAACCUGAGAGGGUGAUCGGCCACACGGGAACUGAGACACGGUCCAGACUCCUACGGGAGGCAGCAGUGGGGAAUCUUCCGCAAUGGGCGAAAGCCUGACGGAGCAACGCCGCGUGAGUGAUGAAGGUCUUCGGUUCGUAAAACUCUGUUAUUAGGGAAGAACAAAUGUGUAAGUAACUAUGCACGUCUUGACGGUACCUAAUCAGAAAGCCACGGCUAACUACGU